rnacentral:rRNA from 1 species
ACUUUGCCGGAUUAGCUGAGAGGUGGUGCAUGGCCGUCGUCAGUUCGUACUGUGAAGCAUCCUGUUAAGUCAGGCAACGAGCCGAGACCCACGCCCACAGUUGCCAGCGUACUCUCUGGAGUGACGGGUACACUGGUGGGGACCGCCGCUGCUAAAGCGGAGGAAGGAAUGGGCAACGGUAGGUCAGUAUGCCCCGAAUAUCCCGGGCUACACGCGAGCUACAAUGGUUGGUACAAUGGGUAUCUACCCCGAAAGGGGACGGGAAUCUCCUAAAACCAAUCUUAGUUCGGAUUGAGGGCUGCAACUCGCCCUCAUGAAGCUGGAAUCCGUAGUAAUCGCGUUUCAACAGAACGCGGUGAAUACGUCCCUGCUCCUU